AAGUGUGGGUAUACUAACUUGUCAAAGCCUGAUCUCAUCAGCUAAACAGGGCCUGGCCUGGUUAGUACUUGGAUGGGAGACUGCAGGUAACUCCAGGAGCCACAGUGG
rnacentral:rRNA from 1 species